GUGUUGUAAACCUAAUUCCCAACAAAUGGCUUUAAUGUUUCUUUUAACUCAAAUAUGCUUAAAGUUAAUAGAACAAUCCUUUAGUUUCUUGUUGGAAGUUUCAUUCUCAAAGAGUUAAGAAUAUGAGUAAAGGAACUAUUUGGUAUAAGUGCUAUGAAGAAUGGUUCACAAUCGAUGAUAUUUUGUUGGACAUAAUUUAUCCGACAAGACUAUCACCUCUUUCUGUAUCCAUAUAUUAGUAUAAGAUACUAACAAAAGUGGAAUGGUAAGUUUCAUGCUAUCUAAUGACAUUGUGAUGUUGUGACAAAUACAGCGGGCACUUAUAAGAUAAGUAAGUCAAACCAGUGGCGAAUAGAUGGUAUAUAAAUGGAGUUCACUCUUGUCAAUUAUUGUUAUCUAGAUCAUAAUAGUGCACAUAGUCCCUUGACCUGAGAUGACAUAGUUAUCUCGUGUAUAAGUAGUCUUUCAUGUACAAUGUAUGGGUAUACCAGUGUGUGUUAGGUCUGAUUAGUUAUAUAUAUGAAAAUAGAUGCACAGUCAAGAUGAGAUUGAUUACCCUAAGUAAAUAAGAAUAAAGCCGUAUGCUAUCUGCAUUGUUAUUGAUAAACAAAGUUCUUUCCAGGACCGUUUGACUUAUUCAUAAAAGAAUUUCUGAUGGUAAGUCUUAUUAAUAAAGAAUUGGAAUUUAAAUGAGGACAUAUGAUCCAAAGCAAUUAGGGUUUUGGCAUAUACCAUUACCCUAGCAAAGUUCAAACUUUAUAACGAAGAGAUUUUAGUGCAUGGUAUGUAUGAU
rnacentral:misc_RNA from 1 species